rnacentral:rRNA from 1 species
UACGACUACAUAUCAGGCAUAUCAAUAAGCGGAGGAAAAGAAACUAACAAGGAUUCCCUUAGUAACGGCGAGUGAAGCGGGAAGAGCUCAAAUUUGAAAUCUUCAAGGUUCUACCUUGACGAAUUGUAGUUUAAAGAAGUGUUUUCUGUUAGAGGAGUAGGCAAAAGUUCUCUUGGAAUAGGGACAUCAUAGAGGGUGAGAAUCCCGUAUUUGGUUCAUUCCUUUCUAGCUUUGUGAUACACUUUCAAAGAGUCGGAUUGUUUGGGGAUGCAGUCCAAAAUGGGUGGUAAAUUUCAUCUAAAGCUAAAUAUUGGCGAGAGACCGAUAGCGAACAAGUACCGUGAGGGAAAGAUGAAAAGAACUUUGAAAAGAGAGUUAAACAGUACGUGAAAUUGUCAAAAGGGAAGCGUUUGACGCCAGUGUUGUUUUUCCGAAAAUCAAUUAAGAGGGCUUGAUUUUGUGUUGUAUUGACCUUAUCAGCUUUCUUCACUCUUUUUCGAGUCUUUCUUAAUGCACUUUUCGGUUAACAAGUCAACAUCAAUUUCUUUUGUUGUAAAAGGGUAUUUGGAAGGUGGCUUUCUUUUCGGAGAAAGUGUUUAUAGCCUUAUACCUCUACAAUCGGAGAGAUUGAGGUCUGCAGCGUAGAUCCUUCGGGGCUAGAUACACUUGUGCUAAGUUAUAGCUUUUCAUAGACAACUUGUUGACUAUGUUUAGUCAUGUAGCUUACCCGCUUGUGCUAUUUUACCUACGCUUAGGAUGUUGAUCUACAGAGCGAGAGU